rnacentral:rRNA from 1 species
UACGAAGGGGGCUAGCGUUACUCGGAUUGACUGGGCGUAAAGGGCGCGUAGGCGGCUUGUACAGUCAGACGUGAAAUUCCUGGGCUCAACCUGGGGGCUGCGUUUGAUACGUGCGGGCUUGAGUUCGGAAGAGGGUCGUGGAAUUCCCAGUGUAGAGGUGAAAUUCGUAGAUAUUGGGAAGAACACCGGUGGCGAAGGCGGCGACCUGGUCCGAUACUGACGCUGAUGCGCGAAAGCCAGGGGAGCGAACGGG